rnacentral:tRNA from 1 species
UAAGAGGUAGUUUAUUUUAGAAUUGUUGACUGUUAAUCAAAAGGAGAGAACUCUUAA